rnacentral:rRNA from 1 species
GAUGAACGCUGGCGGCGUGCCUAACACAUGCAAGUCGAGCGAUUUACUUCGGUAAAGAGCGGCGGACGGGUGAGUAACGCGUGGGUAACCUGCCCUGUACACACGGAUAACAUACCGAAAGGUAUGCUAAUACGAGAUAAUAUACUUUUAUCGCAUGGUAGAAGUAUCAAAGCUUUUGCGGUACAGGAUGGACCCGCGUCUGAUUAGCUAGUUGGUAAGGUAACGGCUUACCAAGGCGACGAUCAGUAGCCGACCUGAGAGGGUGAUCGGCCACAUUGGAACUGAGACACGGUCCAAACUCCUACGGGAGGCAGCAGUGGGGAAUAUUGCACAAUGGGCGAAAGCCUGAUGCAGCAACGCCGCGUGAGCGAUGAAGGCCUUCGGGUCGUAAAGCUCUGUCCUCAAGGAAGAUAAUGACGGUACUUGAGGAAGAAGCCCCGGCUAACUACGUGCCAGCCGCCGCAGUAACAC